ACUGCUGAGUCUUAUGGUUAACAACAUGUAAUAGUUAUAGCAUUAAAGCUCCAAUUAAGUCAAUAUUUGUUUUGGGAAUCGCUAUGAUUUGAACCCUUUCUCUAAUUAUGGCAAAAUCCUGUGUUGGUCUGGAGACUUUCUGACAGCUGCUUAAUUCAUCUUGAACAAAUCCAUCUUUUUCCAUCUUGAUCAGGACUCUGUGAACUCCUGGUUUAAGUAUACCUAGAGGAGAUGAUAUCUAUCCUUUUCCACCUCCAAAUCUACAAAGCUAAGAAGCAGGCAGAACAGAUGUUGCUAUUUACAUUUUAUAGGUCUUAAAAACUGAUGCUACAAAAAUUUUGAUGUAUAUGAAACAUUUCUUUUUGUCAUUGACUUCUUUGGGAUAUAUUCCUGGCAGCUGAUUCUCUUGGUCAAAGGAGUCCCAGCCAGCUGUGAAUCUGCUGAGGACAUGACGUGGCGGAUCCUGUCCUGGAAAUUCCAUAUUGAGAAAACAAAAUUCCCAGAAUAAUGCUACAGUCCCAAGUCAACAAUAAUUCUGAUGAGCAAUAAAGUGUUAGUUAUCUGCAUGCCACAAAACUGACCAAAUUUUGUGGAAACAACAACAAAAAGUUGUCUUCCUUUCUUGGGGGAAGUGACAGAGAAACUAAAACAGAAAGACAAUCUCCGGAUACAGUGGUUGGAUGAGGAUAUUUUGUGCCUUCAGCUGCUUAGGUGGGUGAAGAAGUGCAGCAAGUUGCUGCUGGAGUCAAAGAAAGAACCUCUCCGUCAACAAGCCUCUCCGGAGUGGAAGAUUAAAAACCUAGACAUCACCUACCUUGCAGCGCUACUCCCAACUGGGUUGUGUAAAACUCAAUUAAACUUGUCCCCAUUGAAUACUGCAUUACAGUACAUUAAACAGAAAAUUCUUCAAGCGUGAUGACAAAGCUUGAAACCUUGCCUCAAAGCUGUUCCUUGUAGCUUUCUUUAACAUUUCAGUCUUUAUGGUGCAAGUCUCCCGUUGACACAACUUUAGUCCAGCUACGAAAAAAAAUCAGAGCCCCACAGGGAUUAAAAGAAAAAGGGGAAAAAAAGUGAAGCUGGUCUUGGCACUGCCCCUAGCACAUCUAUCGAAACGAUACUGCUAGCAGACUAGAACCUGAAAAGUAUGACACAGGACUAUAAUCUAAUGAUUUAAAAUGCAAUGCCCCCAUUUUGUGCAGGUAGAUUUUUUUUUAAUAUUUCCCUUUUCACACAGAGUUCAGACAUUCGCAAGAUCACAUAUUAGAGUGACAUACAUAGUCCCGAGGAUUUGAGUAUUUUUAUACAGUACUAUGAAAAGAAUAGAACAAGACAGAAUCACGUUUUCAGGAGCCUCAUUGAGCAAAAUGGAAAGGUAUUGUGACAAAUCCAGGACAUCUUGAAAGUUUAAUCAAAUACAAACUCUUCCUUUUGCCUCAAUUCCCCCCCUCCCCCACCAUCACUACUUUCCAGCACUG